rnacentral:rRNA from 1 species
UACGAGGGGCGCAAACGUUAUUCGGAAUUACUGGGCUUAAAGAGUUCGUAGGCGGCUCGGUAAGUCGGGUGUGAAAGCCCUCGGCUCAACCGAGGAAUUGCGCUCUAAACUGCCGUGCUUGAGGAACCUAGAGGUGAGCAGAACUGAUGGUGGAGCGGUGAAAUGCGUUGAUAUCAUCAGGAAUACCGGAGGCGAAGGCGGCUCACUGGGGGUUUUCUGACGCUGAGGAACGAAAGCCAGGGGAGCGAACGGG